ensembl:lncRNA
CAUUAAUAUAUCAGAAUGUGUUAACUUUUUAAUGGCAAGAGGAGCUUCUUGAUGUAGUUUAUACUAAAUACUGACAUUGCAUUUUAAAAGUUUUUCAUGUAAAUAUCAAAAUGUCACUUGCAUUACAACUAGAAGGCAUAUCCUGCCAAAUGUCAAUAGACCCUGCAUGUAAAGGCAACAGUACAUUCAUACAGGUGAUUCAUGUGGGAGCCAUAUAAAUAUGAAGCAUAAAACGACAGAUGGGACCUAAUGCUUAUACAGUGCAUCCCUUUUUGCAACUUUUGUCAGUUUUCUAAAGCAAGCCCUGAAAGUGAAAAGCCACUGCGAGCUAUAUAUGGAAUGUAUGCAAUUAUAACAAAACGACGAAGCUGAGAUGGGAAAGCAGAUGAUCAUAACAUCUCAUCUGAGCUCGGUGAAACGGAGCUGCUCUCUGACAUAUCGUGAAUCUCUGCCACCUCAUCACCUCCAAAAGAGAGGCAGACAGACGGAGAAAGAGCAAGAACAGUAGGCUCAUUCGAAAACACAUCAAAUCAGGCUAUUUUCGGCAUCUAAACAACAGCAUUUGGUGCAGGUGAAGUCCAUGUUGUCAGUACCAAGGCGUUCAUGGGAAGCUGUAAUAAGUUUUGGAGUGUGCCCUGUUUGGAUGAUUUUCCAGAAAGCAAUCUGAUAUCACUAGGUGUAAGUGCACAAGGCCUGGGGGCAGAUGAGUCGGAUGCUUCCGUCAGUAGUAGCUGUCUAUUAUACUGCGGGAGAGCUUGGAGGAAGUGGAAAUAGAGAGUGAGCAAGCUAAGAUAAACAUUGCAAACCCUCCAAUCAACUCCAUAAUGGAGUGGCAGCUCGAUGGGGUUAAACGGCAAGCUUGACGGGAGAAGGCUGAGCAUCCAGUGAUCUUUAAUGAACAAGCGCACAAGGCUGAAUGCACUUAUUUGUAUACAAAACAUUAUCUUGGUAUUCAAGGCACACAUCUCAUCUGAGGCGUUCAGCUUUGUGUGACGGUGUGGUAUUAAGGCUCGGUAAGCCUCCUCUGAGCAAUGUGGAGUGGAUGGAAUAAGCAUAUCUGUUCUUCACCUUUCUGGUGAAGGAAACUCUCACACACUACACCUUGACAUUCAUGACAGCGAGGAUACUCAGAGUGAUUGUAAUCCACAUUGCCGACAAGCAGAAUAGGAGGAAUUUUCCUCCCUUUUCUGGUGUAGAACCAUCAUUUGUUUGCAUAAUGACACUUCCAGACUAGAGACGGCUUCUGUUGCAGUGCUGCCCUUUAAACCCCUGCUUUGAUUUGGCAAGGUCUCAGGCUCUUUUCAUCUCUUAUAUGAGAGAAAAUUUAGAUUUGGG